rnacentral:rRNA from 1 species
GACGAACGCUGGCGGCGUGCCUAAUACAUGCAAGUAGAACGCACAGUUCAUACCGUAGCUCGCUCCACCAUAGACUGUGAGGUGCGAACGGGUGAGUAACGCGUAGGUAACCUGCCUGGUAGCGGGGGAUAACUAAUGGUAACGAUAGCUAAUACCGCAUAAUAUUAAUUAUGGCCUGAUAAGUAAUGGAAAUGUGCAAUUGCACAACUACCAGAUGCACCUGCGUUGUAUUAGCUAGUAGGUGAGGUAACGGCUCACCUAGGCGACGAUACAUAGCCGCCCUGCGAGGGUGCGCUGCCAAGCUGGGCCUGGGACACGGCCCAGACUCCUACGGGUGGCAGCCGUAGCGGAUCUUCAGCGAUGGACGAAAGUCUGAACGAGCGACGCCGCGUGAGUGAAGAAGGUUUUCGGGUCGUAUAGCUCUGUUGUGAGAUAGGAUCGGGAGUGAGAGUUGACAGUUCACAUAGUGACGGUAUCGUAAGAGAAAGCGCCGGCUAACUACGUG